AGUUCAUAGGUCAGUUACUCGUGAAAAAUCGGGCUAUAAAUAAACAACUACAAUGCCACCUAACGGCUGAGCUAAGCCGCCACACGGCUGCCGCAGUGAAACGGUGGGGUAAGAGCCCACCGCCGGGGCCGUGAGGCCCCCGGGCACGGCAAACCCCGGCCGGAGCAAGGCCAAAUAGGGGGGCGGUUGAGGGUGGCCCGCCCGAUGCCCCCGGGUAGGCCGCAUAGAUGGAUGGCUCCCUAAAACAGAAUCCGGCCUAUGGCCCUCUCCCCCGU
rnacentral:RNase_P_RNA from 1 species